rnacentral:rRNA from 1 species
GAGGGAGGANGNNUCAUNNUUAUUUUUUAUGAUGACGGGCUCGCACUCCCGGGGCGUCUCGCGCUCAUUUCGAGCGGAGGCGCACCCAGAGCGUACACGCUGGGACCCGAAAGAUGGUGAACUAUGCCUGGUCAGGACGAAGUCAGGGGAAACCCUGAUGGAGGUCCGUAGCGAUUCUGACGUGCAAAUCGAUCGUCGGAACUGGGUAUAGGGGCGAAAGACUAAUCGAACCAUCUAGUAGCUGGUUCCCUCCGAAGUUUCCCUCAGGAUAGCUGGCACUCGCUUAAAGCGAGUCUCAUCUGGUAAAGCGAAUGAUUAGAGGCCUCUUGGGGCCGAAACGACCUCAACCUAUUCUCAAACUUUAAAUGGGUGAGAUCUCUGGCUUGCUUGAAACUUGAAGCCACGAGAUUAAUAUCGUAAAAUGGAUCAGAG